rnacentral:rRNA from 1 species
CCUACGGGGGGCAGCAGUGAGGAAUAUUGGUCAAUGGGCGCGAGCCUGAACCAGCCAAGUCGCGUGAAGGAUGAAGGAUCUAUGGUUUGUAAACUUCUUUUAUCUGGGAAUAAAGUGAGGCACGUGUUCCUUUUUGUAUGUACCAUAUGAAUAAGCAUCGGCUAACUCCGUGCCAGCAGCCGCGGGAAUACCGAGGAUGCGAGCGUUAUCCGGAUUUAUUGGGUUUAAAGGGUGCGUAGGUGGUUAAUUAAGUCAGCGGUGAAAGUUUGUGGCUCAACCAUAAAAUUGCCGUUGAAACUGGUUGACUUGAGUAUAUUUGAGGUAGGCGGAAUGCGUGGUGUAGCGGUGAAAUGCAUAGAUAUCACGCAGAACCCCGAUUGCGAAGGCAGCCUUCCGGCGCCCUACUGACGCUGAGGCACGAAAGUGCGGGGAUCGAACAGGAUUAGAUACCCUUGUAGUC